GUAUGAUGCACCCGGGGAUCUUGUUAAAAUACAGAUUCAGUAUGUCUGGCCCGUUCUGAGGGUCUGCAUUUCUAACAAGCUCCCAGGUGAUGGCAAC
rnacentral:miRNA from 1 species